GAACGCUGGCGGCGUGCCUAAUACCUGCAAGUCGAGCGAAGUUUUUCUGGUGCUUGCACUAGAAAAACUUAGCGGCGAACGGGUGAGUAACACGUAAAGAACCUGCCUCAUAGACUGGGACAACUAUUGGAAACGAUAGCUAAUACCGGAUAACAGCAUUAACUGCAUGGUUGAUGUUUAAAAGUUGGUUUUGCUAACACUAUGAGAUGGCUUUGCGGUGCAUUAGCUAGUUGGUGGGGUAAAGGCCUACCAAGGCGACGAUGCAUAGCCGACCUGAGAGGGUGAUCGGCCACACUGGGACUGAGACACGGCCCAGACUCCUACGGGAGGCAGCAGUAGGGAAUCUUCCGCAAUGGGCGAAAGCCUGACGGAGCAACGCCGCGUGAGUGAAGAAGGAUUUCGGUUCGUAAAGCUCUGUUGUUAGGGAAGAAUGAUUGUGUAGUAACUAUACACAGUAGAGACGGUACCUAACCAGAAAGCCACGGCUAACUACGUG
rnacentral:rRNA from 1 species